rnacentral:ncRNA from 1 species
UUAAGUUUAAUUCUGGCUUUUUUAUUAAUUUAUUAAAUUAAUUAUAUGAAUAUUUUUUAAUUAGUAUUUUUUAUCAGUAAUUAUUUUUAAUGUUGAUUUUGUUUUUAAUUUAGAAAUUUAAUUUUGUUGGAUAAAUUUUGUGCCAGCAUUCGCGGUUAAACAAUUCAUUUAAGUUAAUAUUUUUGGUUAAUUGUAUAAUAUUGGUUAUGAUUAAUUUUUUUUUUAUUUAGGUGGAAUUUAUACUCUUUUUAUUCUUUUAUAUGAUUCGUUAAGUUCAUACAAUAAACUAGGAUUAGAUACCCUAUUAUUAUGAUUAAGACAUUUUAUUAUUCUGAAUAUUAAUAGUUAGGUUCUAUGAAACUCAAAGAAUUUGGCGGUAAUUUAACUUUUCAGAGGAACCUGUAUUAUAAUUGAUAAAUCACAAUAGUUAAUACCUUGAUUAUGUUUGUAUAUCGCUAUAAAUUGGAAUGUUUUAAUAAGGAUAAAUUUUCUUUAACUAUUUUGUAUUAUAUUAGGUCAAGGUGCAGCUUUAUGAAGGAGAAUAUGGGUUACUUUUAUUUUGGAAGUUAAAUAAAUUUUUUAAUUGAAAUAGGAUUUGUUAGUAAUUUAAAUUAAUUCAUUUUUUUGAAAUUAGCUCUAAAUUAUGUACAUAUCGCCCGUCACUCCCUUAAGGGAUAAGUCGUAACAAAGUAGCUUUACCGGAAGGUGAAGUUAGAAUGUU